ACGAACGCUGGCGGCGUGCCUAAUCCCUGCAAGUAGCACGCUGAAGGAGGAGCUUGCUUCUCUGGAUGAGUUGCGAACGGGUGAGUAACGCGUAGGUAACCUGCCUGGUAGCGGGGGAUAACUAUUGGAAACGAUAGCUAAUACCGCAUAAGAGUAGAUGUUGCAUGACAUUUGCUUAAAAGGUGCAAUUGCAUCACUACCAGAUGGACCUGCGUUGUAUUAGCUAGUUGGUGGGGUAACGGCUCACCAAGGCGACGAUACAUAGCCGACCUGAGAGGGUGAUCGGCCACACUGGGACUGAGACACGGCCCAGACUCCUACGGGAGGCAGCAGUAGGGAAUCUUCGGCAAUGGACGGAAGUCUGACCGAGCAACGCCGCGUGAGUGAAGAAGGUUUUCGGAUCGUAAAGCUCUGUUGUAAGAGAAGAACGAGUGUGAGAGUGGAAAGUUCACACUGUGACGGUAUCUUACCAGAAAGAGACGGCUAACUACGUG
rnacentral:rRNA from 1 species